rnacentral:rRNA from 1 species
UACGUAGGGUUCAAGCGUUAAUCGGAAUUACUGGGCGUAAAGCGUGCGCAGGCGGUUUUGUAAGGCUGACGUGAAAUCCCCGGGCUCAACCUGGGAAUUGCGUUGGAGACUGCAAGGCUGGAGUCUGGCAGAGGGGGGUAGAAUUCCACGUGUAGCAGUGAAAUGCGUAGAGAUGUGGAGGAACACCGAUGGCGAAGGCAGCCCCCUGGGUCAAGACUGACGCUCAUGCACGAAAGCGUGGGGAGCAAACAGG